AUUGCAUCAAUUUUUAUUUAGUUAUAGUAAAAAUAAUUAUUAUAUAUUUUAUAUUAAACAUAUACAGAUAUCUUAAGUUGAAAAGUGCUGUUGAAUAGAUAUGAAUUUUCAUGAUGAAAAUUUGAAUGUACAGUAACAUUUUGUAUGACGUUAAAUGAGAGAAGAGGGGGAGACAGUGUCAAGUGUAGCCUUGGAUGCGAUAUCUUACGUUUAUUGAAAGAGAACUCGGGUGCUAGUAUUAUCGGGUAUGGUGUUACAGUCGUGGCCACGUUGUGAAUGCGCGCAGUCUUCUUUACAACUACUUUGCAAAACGUUUAAGAAAACGAUCGAAAAUAGGGCUAGUGUUUCCAUUUUUGUAGAACCUCAUUUUCUGCAUCAAAUGGUUCUUUACGAGAUAUGUAUUAGUGUUUGGAGGAAAUCACUGAAAAUAUUGUAGACGAAUAUAAGAUGAUGAUUUUAAUCGAUUUGGCAAUGAGGUAUAACAUAUAGAAUAUUAAUGGUGUUAGUGCUAAAUUUACUGGUAAUUACGUGAAGUUUUUGUGCUCUUGAUUUUUUGUCAACAAUCAUCGUCUUUAAAAGCAAAAGUGGUUUAACUUAUGAUACGGACUGAUUUUUCGAAGGAAAUCGUCGCCGGCGCCAGAUCAGAUAAGUUAUAAUGAACGAUCAAUCAUCGAUGUUAAAUCAAUAAUCAAGGAUCGAAAAUAACAAUCUUUUGUGUAUUUGACACAACAUAAAUAAUUUAUUAGUAACUGGUUGCUACCUUUUUAAUUAUUCAACAAUUAUGAAAAUUUUAUUUAAUUGCUAUAAAUACUGAAUCAUAACUAAUUCUAUUCAUUGAAUAAAAUGCCAAUUUAUUUAUAUAAAUUUCAUUAAAGUAAUAUGAAAUCGUUAAUAAACGGUAAAUAAUCAGCGUGGAAUAAAAAUUUGUCGAUUUAAGGCAAUUGAUGCAAAUUUAUCUUCCUUGUGACGUGUUUGUAUAUUCUUGACCUUUUAGAUCACACCAUCGUUUGUCAAUGAUUUUGACAACUACUAUAAUCAGACUAAUUGUUCCUCCUCUCUCUUUAUUCCGAGAGUCAUUAACUAACAAAUAUAAUUUGAAAAAUGAAUAAGCACACAUUGAAAAUUGUGGUUAAAGCAACGAAGUUAAGGAUUUCUCUCAUAUUAAUUCGAACUUUUAAAACAACUUAUGAAUACAUUAGAAAUAAAAUUUUAUUUAACAAUUAUAAAUAUUUUAUCCUCGUUUAAUCUAAGCUAUUGUAUUUAUUUGUUUUUAUAUAAGUAAAUGUUAUUUACUUUUAUGUGCAAAAACCAGAAUUUUGGUUUUAAAUGUCUUUCAUGAAACUGAAAUAACAUCAUUUUGUGAGAACAUAGUAUAAUGAGGGGAACAAAGAACAGUUUAGUCUUAAUUUGUACGUCAUUCCUCAGGAAAAUGCGAUAAUACCAUCAACCAUUUAUCUUCUCCUCCUCCUCCUUCAGUGAAUUAUUAUUUUACAUGCACUAAGCAUGUUUAAAGUACAUUUAAAUAUUUAUUGUUAACACGUUGAUAUGUCAAUAUGGCCACGUGUAUUAUAUACAUUUUAUAAUAUGAAAGAAAUAGUUCGUAAUAGCUUAUUUUAAUAGUUUUUGAUUUACAAUCGGAAAUAUUAUUACCUACAUUAUCCAAUAUUAUUAGAAAUUUUAUUGCUGAGUUAGGUAUUUUUUGUAUGUAUAUUUGAAUGUCUCGAUAAUAUCUCUAAAACGGUUUAACUGAUUUAGUUAAAAUUUUCGCAGUCGGUCUUAUGUAAGUUUACAGUAAUAACUAUAUAUACAUACAUAGUUUUUUAUUUUGAUUACAUCUAAUGGAUGACAGGAAAAGUAUGAAUAUUAAAAAAUGUUUCAAAGAAAGGUUUAAUGGCAUCGAAGGAAAUAUAAUUCGAUGCCAGAAAUUUUUUGUAACUAAACGCGCAGAGCACUCAUGACGGUCAAAUUUAGUUUUUUAUUUAAAGAUUUGCAUACCUUUUCAUGCUAGUUAAUUUUUCAA